rnacentral:ncRNA from 2 species
GGUCAUGAGCGCCAGCGUCAAGCCCCGGCUCGCUGGCCGGCAACCCUCCUCCGCGGUGGGGUGCCCCGGGUGACGACCUGGCCGCGUCCCGUCCGGGGCUCGGCAAGCGCGGGGU